ACCCUCGUAGCUCAAAUGGAUGAGCACAGGUUUACGAAGCCUGGAAAUGUGAGUUCGAAUCUUACCGAGGGUGCCU
rnacentral:tRNA from 1 species